rnacentral:rRNA from 1 species
AAAUUGAAGAGUUUGAUCAUGGCUCAGAUUGAACGCUGGCGGCAGGCCUAACACAUGCAAGUCGAACGGUAACAGGAAUCAGCUUGCUGAUUCGCUGACGAGUGGCGGACGGGUGAGUAAUGUCUGGGAAACUGCCUGAUGGAGGGGGAUAACUACUGGAAACGGUAGCUAAUACCGCAUAACGUCGCAAGACCAAAGAGGGGGACCUUCGGGCCUCUUGCCAUCGGAUGU